AACGCACAUUGCGCUCUCUGGUAUUCCGGGGAGCAUGCUCGUUUCAGAAUCAUUACAAUCUCUAAAGCAUUUUGGGUUUUCGGACACAAGAUGUCUUUGGAAGUUUGGGCCUUCUUUUGCAUCUCGGUGCAAAUGGUCUGAAAAGGAUUGUGUGCACGUCUCACCUUCUGGUGGAUGUCUCAAGUGCAACAGAUUUACUUCUUUACCAUUUGGAACAUUCUGCUGUAAAGGAAAGUGUUUUGUGUUCCCUACCAUUUUUACAGGUCCUGAAAGCUGAUGCUGGAUUGGAUCCUGAAGACUUGGUCUGAAAUCGAGCAAGAAAACCCGCUGAACUUAA
rnacentral:misc_RNA from 1 species